rnacentral:lncRNA from 1 species
UUCAGAGAGUGUGAGGCUUUGCUUGUCUGGAUUGAAUGGUAUUUUCUGAGCAGGAUGGGAGAGAGAUGCCCUUGGCCCUCAUCCGCCCUGACUUCUUUGAACUUAUCUGUCUUGUCUCUACUUAUUAUUUUGUUGUAAUUUUUUUCUGUUUAAUUAGACAUAGCAGAGUUCCUUACGUAUGGGACUUAGGAGACUACCAUCCAUGCUGUGGUGUCCAAUUGGACAGAGCCUCCUGUUGACACCCCGGCUGCUUCCCCACACCUCUGCUUAGCCAAACUGCAGCUGUCAAUCUUACUGUGAGCUAGGGAAACUUGGAUGAGGAGUCCAUGAGUCGAUAGAUAGGGUAACAUCGUGCCCUGAUGUGCCUCUCAUUCACAUCCGCUCUCUUGCAAGGAACUUGACAGUCACACCCCAAUGCCCUGUAGGAAGGCUUCCUUGUGAGCAGGCACCACAGGAACCCCAUGAUGGCUUAUGCAGAGCUCUCUGGGUGGCUGCGAGAUCUCACAGGCAUCCCCCAGCCACUUUCUGUAUCGGAAGCUCUCAGUUCUGUUCAUUGCUCCCUCUGGCCUCCUUCUGCCCUGGCUCCUGUUGAUGAGCACAGUGCCGUCCCUGAUCAGUUCUUUCUUCCUGUGAAUUUGCUUCGUAGCCCAUCAGGCUGGUAGACUGGCAGCACGGUCAGUGUCACCCGAGGGACAGGACUUCCCUGAAGUGAAGCAGCAAUGUCAUGGAAGCGAACCCCUGUGAGCGAGAGACAGGCCCCGAGGCUGCUGCCACAAGGUCUCAUGUUCAUUGCUGGGGACACUAGCUUCCUACAAACCCCAGGAGACGCUGCCCAUAGCACGGGUGGCCCUUCAGGCUCCUGAACUAUCUAUCCCCAGAUCAGUAGGAUUUGUUUUCCAAGUCCCCUUCCUCAUUCCUUCUUUGCUCAAGAGAAAAAAGAAAAGUGGUAACUCUGUGACUCUAAGUCCCUCUUAAAUGCAGCGCUGAAUCUAGCUUGGCUCGGAGAUCUCUGACUUGUCCCUAGGGUGAGACUGUGGCCUCCCCAGGUUGAGGUGGCACGUGUAUUGUGAGAGAUUAGCCUGGAGAGCAGAGAAGAGGGGGAGGGGGGAUAGGGAGGAGAGAGCAAUCGUGUCUCCCUACAGGACCCUGGGCCAUCUGACAAGACAGAGGAGGUGGGACUGGCUUCCCCAUGCUGCACAUGGCAGUGGGAACCAGGCUUGGAGUCCCCCACCCCCUCCUUAACCUCUUCUCUCAGACCUUGUAGCCCUAGCUUGCCCUGUGCUCUGCAG